CAAAAGAUCAAUCGAUAUACAUAUUUUCUUACAUUAUCGAUAAUGGUAAUAUAACGUAUAUUUGAAAGCAAUGCAGCUGCUGCUUAGCCCUGCUAAUGUCGUUUUGAUAGAUAUUUGACUCUUGCCAACCCAUAUUUGGCAGUAAAGCCAAAACGUUUUGACUAUGCGGCUCACGCGCCCAAUCGGCACGUUUUAAGUGUGGCCUCCAGUGCAUCUUUCGGUGUUAUUUUUCUUCGUUUUAUGCGGUUUUUCUUCAACUUUUUGUGCUAUUUCGUGUGUGUGUACACUGUUUGGCCGCAUUUUGUUACGCCGGGCAACAUGUGCAAAAGUCAAUUUGAAAAUUGCGGCACAGCCAGCCGCAGCAAUGUCGAGCUCCGCCUCCAACCCGCCCCACUACUAAACAUACUGCUGCUGCUGCUGCUACUACUCUUACUGGUACUGGUAGUACCAACUGGUACUUUGCGGUCCACUUUUCAUUGACGCCGCCGACGCACAUAAACAACGUGCUACGACGACUCCGGCCGGAACCCCACUAAAAACCCUGGCCCGGGACCGACCCCGUACCAUUGGCAAGUUGUUUAUAUUGUUUUUAAUAACAUUUAACGCUGUGGCAACAUGUGCGUGGUGCACUGCAUAAAUUACUCCAAAUGCCUAUGCGGCAUUAUAAGUCAAAUGCUUUCAACUCAAAUUAAAAAUAAAC